GGAGUUGUAGCUCAGCUGGCUAGAGCGUCUCAUUUACACUGAGAAGGUCACAGGUUCGAGUCCUGUCAACUCCA
rnacentral:tRNA from 1 species